rnacentral:rRNA from 1 species
CCUACGGGAGGCAGCAGUGAGGAAUAUUGGUCAAUGGGCUUACGCCUGAACCAGCCAAGUCGCGUGAGGGAAGACUGCCCUAUGGGUUGUAAACCUCUUUUGUCAGGGAGCAACGCCGGCUACGUGUAGCCGGACUGAGAGUACCUGAAGAAAAAGCAUCGGCUAACUCCGUGCCAGCAGCCGCGGUAAUACCGGGGAUGCGAGCGUUAGCCGGAUUUAUUGGGGUUAAAGGGUGCGUAGGCGGAAUGCCAAGUCAGCGGUAAAAUCGCGGGGCUCAACCUCGCUCCGCCGUUGAAACUGGCGGUCUUGAGUGGGCGAGAGGUACGCGGAAUGCGCGGUGUAGCGGUGAAAUGCAUAGAUAUCGCGCAGAACGCCGAUUGCGAAGGCAGCGUACCGGCGCCAGACUGACGCUGAGGCACGAAAGCGUGGGGAUCGAACAGGAUUAGAUACCCCAGUAGUC